UACGGAGGGUGCAAACGUUGCUCGGAAUCAUUGGGCGUAAAGCGCACGUAGGCGGCCUGUAGUCGGUGGUGAAGACCGCUGGGCUCAACCCAGGAAGUGCACACGAAACUGGCAGGCUUGAAUAUGGAAGAGGGUCGCGGAAUUCCCGGUGUAGAGGUGAAAUUCGUAGUAUCGGGAGGAACACCAGUGGCGAAGGCGGC
rnacentral:rRNA from 1 species